rnacentral:tRNA from 1 species
GCGCGGGUGGUGAAAUUGGUAGACACGCUACCUUGAGGUGGUAGUGCUGCAAGGCGUGAAGGUUCGAGUCCUUUCCCGCGCACCA